rnacentral:snRNA from 1 species
AUCACUUCUCAGCCUUUUGGCUAAGAUCAAGUGUAGUAUCCAUUCUUGUCAAUUUAAUAUCUUAUGUGUCCUCUAUCUGAGGACAAUAUAUUAAAUGGAUUUUUGGAGCUCAGAGUUGGAAUAGGAGCUUGCUCCGUCCACUCCACGCAUCGACCUGGUAUUGCAGUACCUCUAGGAAUGGUGCCCCCCCU